AGUGAACGCUGGCGGUAGGCCUAACACAUGCAAGUCGAACGGCAGCACAGGAGAGCUUGCUCUCUAGGUGGCGAGUGGCGGACGGGUGAGGAAUACAUCGGAAUCUGCCCAGUCGUGGGGGAUAACGUAGGGAAACUUACGCUAAUACCGCAUACGACCUUCGGGUGAAAGAGGGGGAUCGCAAGACCUCUCGCGAUUGGAUGAGCCGAUGUCGGAUUAGCUAGUUAGCGGGGUAAUGGCCCACCAAGGCGACGAUCCGUAGCUGGUCUGAGAGGAUGAUCAGCCACACUGGAACUGAGACACGGUCCAGACUCCUACGGGAGGCAGCAGUGGGGAAUAUUGGACAAUGGGCGCAAGCCUGAUCCAGCCAUACCGCGUGGGUGAAGAAGGCCUUCGGGUUGUAAAGCCCUUUUGUUGGGAAAGAAAUCUUUCAGGCUAAUACCCUGGGGGGAUGACGGUACCCAAAGAAUAAGCACCGGCUAACUUCGUG
rnacentral:rRNA from 1 species